rnacentral:rRNA from 1 species
AUUUAAAGGUGAAAACCGCCGGAGGAUUGGAAUAUGUCCUAUUAGCUAGUUGGCGGGAUAAAAGCCCACCAAGGCGAUGAUAGGUAGCUGGUCUAAGAGGAUGAACAGCCACAAUGGGAUUGAGAUACGGCCCAUAUUCCUACGGGAAGCAGCAGUAGGGAAUCUUCCACAAUGGGCGAAAGCCUGAUGGAGCAAUGCCAUGUGAACGAUGAAGGCCAGACAGGUCGUAAAGUUCUUUUAGAGGGGAAAAAUUUGAUGGUACCCUCUGAAUAAGUGACAGCAAACUAUGUGCCAGCAGCUGCGGUAAUACAUAGGUCGCGAGCGUUAUUCGGAUUUAUUGGGCGUAAAGCAAGCGCAGGCGGAUGAAUAAGUUCUGCAUUAAAAGCAGCUGCUUAACAGUUGUUUGUGCCGAAUACUAUUCAUCUAGAAUGUGGUAGGAAGUUUUGGAAUUAAAUAUGGAGCGGUGGAAUGUGUAGAUAUAUUUAAGAACACCAGAGGCGAAGGCGAAAACUUAGGCCAUUAUUGACGCUUAGGCUUGAAAGUGUGGGUAGCAAAUGGGAUUAGAUACCCCAGUAGUCCACACCGUAAACGAUGGGUAUUAGAUGUCGGGAUUUGUGUUUCGGCGUUGUAGCUUACGUGUUAAAUACCCCGCCUGGGUAGUACAUAUGCAAAUAUGAAACUCAAAGGAAUUGACGGGGACCUGAACAAGUGGUGGAACAUGUUGCUUAAUUCGAUAAUACACGAAAAACCUUACCAAGGUUUGACAUCCUUUGCAAAGCCAUAGAAAUAUGGUGGAGGUUAUCAGAGUGACAGGUGGUGCAUGGUUGUCGUCAGCUCGUGUCAUGAGAUGUUUGGUUAAGUCCCGCAACGAGCGCAACCCUACUCUUUAGUUGAUUGUCUAAAGAGACUGAACAGUAAUGUAUAGGAAGGAUGGGAUCACGUCAAAUCAUCAUGCCCCUUAUGCCUUGGGCCGCAAACGUG